rnacentral:misc_RNA from 1 species
UGGAAUUUUAAGUUAUAUAAUAGAAAGAGUAGUACCGCCUUAAGAAAGGAGACCAGAGCAUCAGCUCAGCCUUUGAAGAACGCUGAUGAGCUCAUUUACUCCGUCGAGACCUUCAUCUUUGAUUGUGACGGAGUUAUUUGGAAAGGUGAUAAAUUGAUAGAUGGUGUCCCUCAGACUCUGGAUAUGCUUCGUUCAAGGGGCAAGAGAUUAGUUUUUGUUACCAACAACUCCACAAAGUCUAGGAAACAAUAUGGU